GUAGUGACAAGAAAUAACAAUACGGGGCUUAAUGUCUUGUAAUUGGAAUGAUGGGAAUUUAAACCUCUUCCAGAGUAUCAAUUGGAGGGCAAGUCUGGUGCCAGCAGCCGCGGUAAUUCCAGCUCCAAUAGCGUAUAUUAAAAUUGUUGCAGUUAAAAAGCUCGUAGUUGAAUUUCUGCUGCAUUUCAUUUCUCUUUCUGAGUUUGUUUUUGCGGCUUAUUUCGGUUUGAUUUUUUCUUUCCGGAUGAUUACUUUGAGAAAAUUAGAGUGCUCAAAGCAGGCUUUUGCCUUGAAUAGUUUAGCAUGGAAUAAUAAAGUAGGACUUUGGUUCUAUUUUGUUGGUUUUAGGUACCAAAGUAAUGGUUAAUAGGAACAGUUGGGGGCAUUCGUAUUUAACUGUCAGAGGUGAAAUUCUUAG
rnacentral:rRNA from 1 species